CUCCUCCCUCUUUCCCUGCCUCUCCGCAUGGCGGCGACCGCGGCUCCUCCUCCACUCAAGAUGGCGAAACCUCGGCCGCCGCGGCUAUAUUCGCCGCGGCGUCACUGCCUUCCUGGCCUGGUGGUGAGAGGAAGUCGGGCCGCGAAAGCUUCCUGAGGAGAAAAUGGAGGGCCCUUCUCUCACACCGACGAGAAAAGUUCGAGGGGGAAAUACGAGUUCCUUUCUGAAGGGACAGGACGGCUGCUUUUCCACAGCCGCGACGUGAUUGAGAAAUGGUGGCUGGCAAGGGUAGGCCUGCCUUCGCCCCUCCAAAGUAAAAAUCGGGAGUUGAGACCAGAGGAACAUCUCUUUAUUACAUGACUAAGGAUAUGUUUUGAAAACUGGCCCCCGGGCAGCUGCUCGGGGACAGGAAGCUGACCUGACUUCUCCAGCUGGCCGGGGAGGCUGAUGCCGGGCCUAAGGGGCCGCGUCCGAGCCUCUCGGGGCGCGCCUCCAUGCAGGAAGGCGCGGAACUAGCGACCCGGAGACGCCGGGCGCGCGUCUGAGUGUGGGGGCAGGAAGGGGGGCCGACCGGGCCCGGAGGCCGCACCAGGCAGGAGGGAGGACUCCAGAGAGUGCGCGGGGGGCGCUGCGCGGUGGGACGGGGCGAGCCUGUAGGGCGCGCCUGGCGGCGGGUAGGCUCCGGGCUUGAGGGUGCGCCUGGGGGCGCUGGUUGUGGGGGAAGGCACCGGGCUUGAGGGUGCACCUGGGCGGGGGAAGUCUUCGGGCAUGAGGGCGCGCCUGCGGGUGGUAUGGGGGGGUACACCGAGCUUGAGGGUGCGCCCGGGGGGCUCUCAUGUGAAGGGUACCAGGCUUGAGGGCGCCCCUGCGGGGGGCGCAGAGGCACCGAGCUUGAGGGUGCGCCUCGGGGGUCUGCGGGGGGAAGGCACCGGACUUGAGCGUGCGCCGGGAGAGGACGGCGGGGGACCGGACUGUGAGGGCGUAUCUUGGGGGACCUGUCUAGGAGGAACCGGGAGGUGAAGGCACAACUGGGGGUGAGGCGGGGGCAGGGGCCGGGCUGUGAGAGUGCGACUGAGGGGGGAUUACUCCGGAGAGCACGGAGCUGGGGGCGUUGCGCAGGUGGAGUGGGGAGGCCUGGUGGAGAGGGUAGCAAACCGAGAGAGCGCACCGGGGUGGUGGGGGGAGAAGCUGGACUGUAAGGUGAAGAGUUAGUAGGGCGCAACCGUCUUCUCCUGCCCUCGAAGGGCAAGACUGAAGAAAGUAGGGGCGGAGGAGGCCGGGCCCUCCACUAAAGGGAGGGAAGCUAGUGAAGCGUCAGUUAUAAUAGAAAUAGGAAUUCAGUAAGGAAAUGGAGAAGCUUAAGGCAAAGGGUGACUCUCCGGCCUGACCCUCACUAUGAAGAUAUUUAUGUAUGUUCCCAUAAUACUUUUCAGAUCCCAAUGUCUGUGUUUAUCCUUGACAGAAAUAAUAGAACUGCUGUCUUCUUCCAAGUUAAACAAAACUUUGGAGCUAAAAGCUAGCUAGGUCAAGAGAAACAAAAUCUAAUCCUCACCCAAUUGAGAGACUGAAUAUACAAAGAAUGGCCAAACCUAACCAUGACCUCCUACCCAUAACCUCUUCAGUAAUCGGCCAGAAGGGUCAGGACUUAAUCUUUAACCGGCAGCUUCCCUAUUUCUUGCCCCUGCUUCCAGCUCUGGGCCAAUCAGAGAAAGCCAAAUGUGCUCCUCACACCAAUCGCGUAAGAAGCCCUGCUUCUAGUAUAGCCCUCCUCCAACUUCCCGAUGCCAACAUCCUCCAAUCAGAGCCAACCUGAAGUUUCUCCCUUUUUUCAGUAUAUGUAAAGCUUUUCCACUCCCCUGCCUGCCUAUGAGUCUGUUAAAUCAAGUGAUGGGUCGCGGCUGACUCUUGCCAGCUCUGAGUAAAUAGCCUAUUCUCA
rnacentral:lncRNA from 1 species